UUAAGGGCAUACGGUGGAUGCCUUGGCACGUAAAGGCGAUGAAGGACGCGACUACCAGCGAUAUUCCUCGGUUAGGCGGAAGUAGCCUGAGAUCCGAGGGUUUCCGAAUGGGGCAACCCUGUUCCGGUAAUGCGGAGCAAUCCAUAUCUGAAUCCAUAGGAUAUGUGAAGCGAACCUGGGGAACUGAAACAUCUAAGUACCCAGAGGAAGAGAAAACAAAAGUGAUUUUCCGAGUAGUGGCGAGCGAAAGGGAAACAGCCUAAACCAUUCAACAUGUUAAAGGAUGCAACCGUUGUGUUGUUGGUGUUGUGGGGCUUGUUCAGACUGAAUUGCAGAUAAGUCGAAGAGUAAAAAACUGUUUUAUUAACCGAAUGUUCUGGAAAGUUCAACUAUAAAAGGUGAUAGUCCUGUAGGUGAAAAUAAAACAGCUCUUUGGAAUAAGUUCCCGAGUACCGCGAAAUAAGUGGAAGUUUGUGGGAAACUGCCAGAACCAUCUGGUAAGGCUAAAUACUAAUACGUGACCGAUAGUGAAGAAGUACCGUGAGGGAAAGGUGAAAAGUACUCCUAACAGGAGAGUGAAAUAGUACCUGAAACCGUAUGCUUACAAGCAGUUGGAGUCUCGAUUUAUCGGGAUGACAGCGUGCCUUUUGGAUAAUGAGCCUACGAGUUACUCUUACGUUGCAAGGUUAAUUCCCUUAGGGAAGUAGCCGUAGCGAAAGCAAGUCUGAAAUGGGCGUUAAGUAACGUGAGGUAGACGCGAAACCGUGUGAUCUACCCUUGUCCAGGAUGAAGUGAGGGUAAAACCUCAUGGAGGUCCGAACCAGUACGGGUUGAAAACCGUUUGGAUGAGGUGAGGGUAGGGGUGAAAGGCCAAUCAAACUCGGAGAUAGCUCGUACUCCUCGAAAUAGCUUUAGGGCUAGCCUCGAGUUAAAGUUUGCCGGAGGUAGAGCACUGAUUGGGCUAGGGCUGUCACAACGGUACCAAACCCAGACAAACUCCGAAUUCCGGACAAAUGUUUCUCGGGAGUCAGGCAGUGGGGGAUAAGCUUCAUUGCCAAGAGGGGAACAACCCAGACCACCAUCUAAGGCCCCUAAACGAUAGUUAACAGAGAAAGGAUGUUGAGUUGCUCAGACAACUAGGAUGUUGGCUUAGAAGCAGCCAUUCAUUUAAAGAGUGCGUAAUAGCUCACUAGUCAAGCGACUCAGCGCCGACAAUUUGCGGGACUAAAACUAUCUGCCGAAGGUGUGGACUCAGUAAUGAGUGGUAGAGGAGCAUUCUAUAUGCACCGAAGGUGUAUCGCGAGAUAUGCUGGAGCGUAUAGAAAAGCAAAUGUAGGCAUAAGUAACGAUAAUGCAGAUGAAAAAUCUGCACGCCGAAAGUCUAAGGUUUCCUGAGCAAUGUUAAUCAUCUCAGGGUUAGUCGGACCCUAAGCCGAGGCUGAAAGGCGUAGGCGAUGGAAAACAGGUCAACAUUCCUGUACCUGGUAAAAUUCGUUUGACUAUAAGGAGGGACGCAGAAGUGAAGGUAAGCCGCCUGUCGGAUUAGGUGGUCUAAGCGUGUAGGUUGAAAGAGUAGGCAAAUCCGCUCUUUCUUAAGACCGAGGCGCGAACGGGAGUCCUUUGGACACAAACUUACCGUAAUCAUACUGCCAAGAAAAUCUUCGUAUGGGAGAGUUUUAUCAGUCCGUACCGCAAACCGACACAGGUAGACGGGAUGAGUAUUCUAAGGCGCUCGAGUGAUUCGUGGUUAAGGAACUCGGCAAAUUAACCCCGUAACUUCGGGAGAAGGGGUGCCUCAAGUAAGUGAAAUUAAUUCUAGUGGAGCUGAAAGAGGCCGCAGUGAAAAGGCCCAGGCGACUGUUUAACAAAAACACAUGUCUCUGCGAAGUCAAUCAAGACGAUGUAUAGGGACUGACACCUGCCCGGUGCUGGAAGGUUAAGAGGAGGGGUUAGCGCAAGCGAAGCUCUGAAUCGAAGCCCCAGUAAACGGCGGCCGUAACUAUAACGGUCCUAAGGUAGCGAAAUUCCUUGUCGGGUAAGUUCCGACCUGCACGAAUGGUGUAACGAUCUGGGCACUGUCUCGACCACGAGCUCGGUGAAAUUGUGGUACCGGUGAAGACGCCGGUUACCCGCAUAUGGACGGAAAGACCCCGUGAACCUUUACUGCACCCUAACAUUGGGUUCGGUUAAAUCAUGUGUAGGAUAGGUGGGAGACUUUGAAGCCGGGCCGCUAGGUUCGGUGGAGUCAUCGGUGAAAUACCACCCUUGGUUUAGUUGGAUUCUAACCUCGAGCCUUGAAUCAGGUUCAGGAACAGUGUUAGGCGGGUAGUUUGACUGGGGCGGUCGCCUCCCAAAUUGUAACGGAGGCUCUCAAUGGUUCCCUCAGCAUGGUUGGUAAUCAUGCGUUGAGUGCAAAGGCAUAAGGGAGCUUAACUGUGAGACAUACAGGUCGAACAGAUACGAAAGUAGGACUUAGUGAUCCGGCGGUAGCGAGUGGAAGUGCCGUCGCUCAAAGGAUAAAAGGUACUCCGGGGAUAACAGGCUGAUCUUGCCCAAGAGUUCAUAUCGACGGCAAGGUUUGGCACCUCGAUGUCGGCUCAUCGCAUCCUGGGGCUGGAGAAGGUCCCAAGGGUUUGGCUGUUCGCCAAUUAAAGCGGUACGUGAGCUGGGUUCAGAACGUCGUGAGACAGUUCGGUCCCUAUCCUAUGCGGGCGCAGGAUACUUGAGAAGAUUCGUUUCUAGUACGAGAGGACCGAAGCGAACAAACCUCUAGUGUACCAAUUGUCACGCCAGUGGCAGCGUUGGGUAGCUAUGUUUGGAAGUGAUAAGCGCUGAAAGCAUCUAAGUGCGAAGCACACUUCAAGAUUAGGUAUCCCUGUCGAAAGACACUAAAGACUCCUUGAAGAUGACAAGGUUGAUAGGCUGCAGAUGUAAGUGUGGUAACAUAUUUAGUCGAGCAGUACUAAUAAGUCGUGAGACUUAACC
rnacentral:rRNA from 1 species